GAUCAUGGCUCAGGAUGAACGCUAGCUACAGGCUUAACACAUGCAAGUCGAGGGGCAGCAUUUUUAGUUUGCCUGCAAACUAAAGAUGGCGACCGGCGCACGGGUGAGUAACACGUAUCCAACCUGCCGAUAACUCAGGGAUAGCCUUUCGAAAGAAAGAUUAAUACCUGAUGGCAUAGGAUUAUCGCAUGAUAAUACUAUUAAAGAAUUUCGGUUAUCGAUGGGGAUGCGUUCCA
rnacentral:rRNA from 1 species